UACGAAGGGGGCUAGCGUUGUUCGGAUUUACUGGGCGUAAAGCGCACGUAGGCGGAUCGUUAAGUCGGGGGUGAAAUCCUGGAGCUCAACUCCAGAACUGCCUUCGAUACUGGCGAUCUUGAGUCCGGAAGAGGUGAGUGGAACUCCUAGUGUAGAGGUGAAAUUCGUAGAUAUCAGGAGGAACACCGGUGGCGAAAGCGGCUUCCUGGCCCGACAUUGACGCUCAUGUACGAGAGCGUGGGGAGCAAACAGG
rnacentral:rRNA from 1 species